GCCAAAGUAGCUCAGAUGGCAGAGCGGCGCACUCGUAAUGCGCAGGUCUGGGGUUCGAUUCCCCACUUUGGCU
rnacentral:tRNA from 2 species